rnacentral:rRNA from 1 species
CAAUGCCGCGUGAGUGAAGAAGGGCCUUACGGGUUGUAAAGUCUCUUUCAGUUGAGAAGAAAAAAUUGUGACUAUACUUGCAAUUCAUGACAGUAUCAACAGAAGAAGCACCGGCUAACUACGUGCCAGCAGCCGCGGUAAUACGUAGGGUGCAAGCGUUAAUCGGAAUUAUUGGGCGUAAAGGGUGCGCAGGCGGUUUUGUAAGUCAGAUGUGAAAUCCCCGGGCUUAACCUGGGAAUUGCGUUUGAAACUACAAGACUAGAGUGUGGCAGAGGGGGUGGAAUUCCAUGUGUAGCAGUGAAAUGCGUAGAGAUGUGGAAGAACAUCGAUGGCGAAGGCAACCCCCUGGGUUAACACUGACGCUCAGGCACGAAAGCGUGGGGAGCAAACAGGAUUAGAUACCCUGGUAGUCCACGCCCUAAACUAUGUCAACUAGUUGUCGGAUCUUAAUAGAUUUGGUAACGUAGCUAACGCGUGAAGUUGACCGCCUGGGGAGUACGGUCGCAAGAUUAAAACUCAAAGGAAUUGACGGGGU